rnacentral:lncRNA from 1 species
GCAGGAGCCACCUGUGGGUGGAGGGCCAGAUUAUCCGUGGUCCUGUGGCCCUCCUCACCCCCGCCUCCUUUGUUCAGUUCCCAAGGAGAUGGGGGUAGAGGUGUUGGUGACCCCAGGGGAGACUUGGGCUAUUUGUGUCCUUUCUUUCAAGGCUGGUCAUCUGUAGUCGAAGUGGAGGUCGUUCUUGAUGCCCCCACUUUGUGGGCUGCCCAAAUCCCACUGGCCUGUCCUGGGACUCCCCCUUUUACCUCCUUCCAACUGAUUUUGGGGGGCUGCAGCUCGGGCACUUUCCCAGCUGGGGCACUCAGCAACCUUCCCAUGGCUCGGGACCACAGCUGGCCCAGGGCAGGGGAGGCACCAAGCUGAAGGACCCCCCAGGACCUAAAUCUGGGACCUGCUCCUGCCUUAUGGCUUGGCCCUGUUACCUGCUCUUGGAGCUGGGGGCCUGUGCCCACCGCUGACACUCUUGCCCUAUGCACUGCCCGACUAGCUGGCCAGGCCUUCCCCAGUGAAGGCCCCCAUUCAGUCAGAGCCAGGGCCUCCUCAGAGGGCAGCCUGGGCAUCACAGCCUUGGGAUAGGGUUCACUCAGAAGCGUGCUGGGGGAACCAAGGUAGAACAAUGCCAGGUGGCCAACGGCAGAACCGGUCCCAACCAGAAAGGUCCAAGAUGGCGAUGGGGUGCCCUGCGCAAAACGAAACGUGUGCCAAAGGUGCCAUGUGCAGGAAAGGAAGGUCAGCGCAUGCCCCAAGUGCUCCUGCCCCAGCGACGACGUGGAGACCCCUCCCCCUGCACAUCCCGUAAGAGCCUGGCUCACCUGCCCUUCUGGGAGAAGGUGCUUUAGAGCUGACCCCGGCCUCCUCCAUCCACUGAUGGGUGAAUAACGCUUCUGCUCUGCUAUUCUGAA